GGUUGCUGGAUCUUGUUGAAUCAAUCUCUGUUGCCUCAGUUAAUCCAUGCCACAGUUGCAGCAGAUGGAAGCUCCUGCAGAAGGUGACACGAAGGGACUCUGGCAUUCAGGCCUAUGUCCUCAGAUUUGGUGACACAGCAAAAUCCUCUUUCCGCGUGGGAUGGCAGGUUGAGAAGCUGAUCUGGAUGCAACUUAUGCAUGCUGGGAACUUCUCAGAAAUUGUUGCACUUGUGAACGUGGAUACAGAAUAGGCUGCAUAGAGUCAAAGCUCCCUCCUGGGCUGCGAAGAAUGGCAGCGAGAAACAUUAAUAGCUUCUUCUGAAUGAGCAAGUGUGAAUGCUCGGAAGCCCAAUUAGUCUGUGACUUCUACAGAGGCCUCCCACAGAGGAGGACAAAAACAUGGAGCUGAAUGGGACAGAGGAUGAGAAAAGAACAAAAACUAAUGUUCUGCAGCUGAGCAAGCCCCUUAUUUGAGUCAGUGUGAGACCCAGGAGUCUAUGAACCUGCAGGACUUUUGUGAAGGAGUCUGACUCAGCUCGGUGGAGGUCCUGGCAGAAAGCCGGGGUGUGGAAGAGUCACACCAGUAGGUUGUCCUUGCUUUGGAAGGGCAUGCAGAAGGCGCUAUGGCAAAGUGCUGUGUGGGCUUCAAGGGAUCGUCCCUGCUCAUCUCACCUGGGCCUUGUGUGUGGACUGCUGGAAAGACAGGGACUGUGUCUGAGGCACUAUAGCAUGUGUGGAUACGAAGGAGGAAUUUGAGCAGGAGAGACCCUUGAAGUGCUUGAUGGUGUACUGAGGAAGGUUCUUGGAUUCCAAGGCAAGAAGCAAAGCCACUUGGGUGGCUGGAAGGGCAAAAGCUGCAUUUCCCCACGCUGGGGGCUGCGGAGGAGGCAGAGGCAGAUACCUGGGGCUCCCUGGCAGCGCUUGCUGAAGAUCAGCCUUGAUCAGAACAGGCACUUCUUUUUCUCCCAACAAGAAUAUAUCUGUCAAGAGAAACAGAUGUUCUCUAUGAAGAAUCUUCUUUAAUUACAAGUCUGUCAAAAAGAGAAAUCUUCAAGUGUCUCAAGCCUCAAAUCUGCGAAUGGCUUCAGCCCUGGGCAAGAAAUCACCCCUUUCCUGAGCAGCCCCAGUGCCCUUUCUCAGCUCUUGUCAUGUCAUCCCUGCAGCUGCACCAAUAAACUGGGCAUUUUUGGAGUUUAGUUUUCAGAUGAGCCCGCUUCAAAUCAAUGGAGCUGCUGCUUUUCGUGACUCCUGGGAAUAAGAUGGCGUGGAAACAACCCACGGCCAUGCCCAAAUAAGAAAACUAAAAGAAUUAUUGGUUUUGGUCAACCUGGAACAUGGCUCUUUUUGCCCUGACAUUUUCCUAGAGGAAAGUGAAACUCUUCAUCUACAGAUUCAAAAAGUCCCAAAGGCACUCUGUCAGACAUCUCCCAACGUGCUCUCUCAGUUAUUGCUGGAUGGAUCAGAAGUUCUCCAGGGAGCAGUGAAGAUGUUUUUGCGGGCUACAAAACCUCAAAGGCUGAAAAUACUCAAUUCCAGUGUCUGCUUCUUGCUUCCAGAGGAGAUAUCUGCUCUUUGUCUUCAUCUUCAUCGUCAUCAUCUUUGUCUUUGUCUUCAUCUUUGUCUUUGCUUUGUCUUUGUCCUCCUUCUCCUUCUUUCUCUCUCUCCUCUUCCUCUUCCUUUUCCUCCUUCCUCCAGCUCCUAAAUCCCCACCUUCCCUUGACCCCCCCUCCUUUCCUUCUCCCCAUCAUGCAUUGCAUGCUGAAUGCAGGAGGCUCUCAAAGGCAAGAGUCGGCCUGGGACACUCUUACCCACAAUAGCAGUGGUGAACAGAACCCAGGUUUUCAGCCAGGAAAUUUCACUGGUAAUCUCCUGCGAGGGAGGCGCUCCCAUUUUUCAUGAUGGUUGGCCCUUGCGGGAUAUGGAUGAAAAGAGAAAGCAUUUCAUUUGCUCUUUGAAAACUGGAGCUAUAGAUCAAGGCCCUGCUCAGUCCCCUGAAGACUAGAAAUGGGAUUUUUGCAAGAAUUGAGGCUAUCCUCUCUGAAAACUAAAACAGUUAUCUACACUUUCAUCGAGAGGUC
rnacentral:lncRNA from 7 species